UACGUAGGGUGCGAGCGUUGUCCGGAAUUAUUGGGCGUAAAGAGCUCGUAGGCGGUUUGUUGCGUCGGCCGUGAAAACCUGCAGCUUAACUGUGGGCCUGCGGCCGAUACGGGCAGACUUGAGUUCGGUAGGGGAGACUGGAAUUCCUGGUGUAGCGGUGAAAUGCGCAGAUAUCAGGAGGAACACCGGUGGCGAAGGCGGAUCUCUGGGCCUGUUCUGACGCUGAGGCGCGAAAGCUAGGGGAGCGAACAGG
rnacentral:rRNA from 1 species